CGGUCAUAUAUUAAAACACCGGUUCUCGUACGACCACUAAAGUUAAGCAACAUCGAGACUGGCCAGUACCUAGAUGGGUAACCGCUUGGGAAUAUCGGGUGGUGUAC